UGGUCCUCGUAAGAGGGCGUG
rnacentral:siRNA from 1 species